GCCAGGAGGGGAGGUGGGAGGGUGAGAGGAAUAAUGAGAACAAUUUCCCUGGAGGGCUCAGGAAAAGUCUUUUACCCCCGGGGCCCCCCUGCUCCUUCCCCUCUGCUCUGACCCUUUGCAGCUGCUGCUGGGCUACCUGUCAGGAUGCUUUAGGAACUGGGGGUGGGAAAGGUCAGAGUAAUAAGGGGACAGAUAUUUUGUUGACCAAGGACUGAACCAGCUCUUGAUGGCCUUGCCCAGGAGCAUAAGGAAGCCAGCGAUACCUAGCUAAUGGACUCCAGCAGAAAAGCUCUUAAAUGAGACUGAACAUAUAAAAUGUUACAGAUGCAAUGAGUUGCUCAGUUCCUUUAAUGCCACUGGUCUUCUAAAGAGCCUCUGACCCUCCAAAAUUAGGGGGACAAAACCCACAAAAAGUAAUUUUUACUGUAUUUAUUGCUCAUUCUGAACCUCUUUUAUAGAAAUCCAGCCUUUGGCAUUGAACUCAGAUAAUAUUUUAUUAGAAGAAAGCAUGAUUCACUGAAGUGCUGCACUUAAGUAUCUAUGGAAAGGAAAACACAAGGGCACAAAAGAAGCUAGGCUGUGGAAAACCAAUCCAAGGAGCCAUUGCCACACAAAGAAUCUCAAGCUGUAGUAAGAAACACCAGGAAGGAGCAAAAUAUUUCCAAGGAGAUAUCUGAGCAUAGUGUUGGAGCCAGGCUUAGACCAAGUCGUCACCCAGAGAUGUCUGAUCAGGACCCAGUUCCAUGGUGGAGCCAGGUUCAGGAUGCAAUUUCCAGCCCAGAGAUGCCUUGCUGCCCAUCUUGAGACUGUGACAUUUGAAAGGUCAGUCAGGCAGACGUCACCAGGACCAGUGCUGCUCAGCCAGGUGCUUGACAGGGACCUGCACAUGCAGCAGUUGCCAAACCACCUGGAUGGGAAAUGCAGAGGAACUCAAGUGGAACCUAGAUGCCUCCUCUGGCUGGAGCAGUGCUGGCCACCUCGCCCUGAGAGCUCUUGGCAUUGCAUGCAUCAACAGGCAAUGAUAGAAGAGCCCUGAAUCUCUCUGCGCUGUGAAGGUGUUGAGUGGCAGAUCUUGAGUAUCUGAAGCUGCAAAUUGCAUGUGAGCACCGUUCUCAUACUGAUAAUGUUGAAGGGUCUGGUGAUUCCCAUGAAGUGGGUUAACAUCUGGCUUUGUUGAAAGCUGGCCGUGACUGGACACCAACCUCUGCCUCAUGAUGCUUUUGGAAAUCACUGGAUAUUCUUUGCUAAAAGAGGGGUAUCUUUAUAUAUUCUGUGUUGUUUUUUUUUAAAAAAAAAAAAAAGAAAGAAGGAAAUAAUUUCCAACUGAUCUGGUCCCAGCUGAAGCCUGCCAGAAAUCCUGAUGUGCUGCUCUCGCCCUUUCCAAGCUGGCCUGGCUGCAGAAGCCUGUGAGAGAGGCUGAUUUCUCUGGCAGAGGUUUAAUUUCAGUGGAGUCAUUAACAACAGCAGCAGAACCCCCUGAGCUGUACCUGCUCCUCUGCCUACAGGCACCAGCUGUAUCGAGCUCUGAAUCUUCACAGCCUGCCUAAACUCAGGGGACCUGAGAGCAAGAUGGGGUUUCCUCCAGAUCCAAUUGCACCUGGUGAGAUUGGCUUCCCUCAGAGCUGCCAUCCAGGCCACCACUAGCUCCUCUGCAGGUGGAGAACCCCAUUCAAAACAGCCUCAGAAGAAAGAUCCCCCUGGGCUGUCCCUGAUGCUGUACCUAAAGCUGGUACCUCAUGGCCAGACCUCUCAUCCUCAUGGCCUCCCUAUCUAUCAUGAUUGGAGUGUAACACCAAAUUAAAGUCUGCCCUAAUUCAAAGCCUCUGCUUCAGCAGUCCUCGUGUUGAAGGACACUGCUCAACCCUUGCUGGGCCAUUUCUAGGGACCCCUUAAGGUACGU